GGAGAGAUGGCCGAGUGGCUUAAGGCACACGCUUGGAAAGCGUGCAUAGGGUAACACCUAUCGUGGGUUCGAAUCCCACUCUCUCCGCCA
rnacentral:tRNA from 1 species